rnacentral:rRNA from 1 species
GGCCUAACACAUGCAAGUCGAACGGAAACGAUGGAAGCUUGCUUCCAGGCGUCGAGUGGCGGACGGGUGAGUAAUGCAUAGGAAUCUGCCUGGUAGUGGGGGACAACCUGGGGAAACUCAGGCUAAUACCGCAUAUACCCUUCGGGGGAAAGCGGGGGAUCUUCGGACCUCGCGCUAUUGGAUGAGCCUAUGUCUGAUUAGCUUGUUGGUGGGGUAAUGGCCUACCAAGGCGACGAUCAGUAGCUGGUCUGAGAGGACGAUCAGCCACACUGGGACUGAGACACGGCCCAGACUCCUACGGGAGGCAGCAGUGGGGAAUAUUGGACAAUGGGCGAAAGCCUGAUCCAGCAAUGCCGCGUGUGUGAAGAAGGCCUGCGGGUUGUAAAGCACUUUCAGCAGCCAAGAAAAGCCUGAGGUUAAUACCCUCGGGUCUUGACAUUAACUGCAGAAGAAGCACCGGCUAACUCUGUGCCAGCAGCCGCGGUAAUACAGAGGGUGCAAGCGUUAAUCGGAAUUACUGGGCGUAGAGCGCGCGUAGGCGGUUUGUUUAGUCGGAUGUGAAAGCCCCGGGCUCAACCUGGGAAUUGCAUUCGAUACUGGCAGGCUAGAGUAUGGUAAAGGGAAAUGGAAUUCCGGGUGUAGC